CUGUGACUGUUUGGCCACGAUGGGGUAAAGGACAGCGAGACUCCCCUCUGAGGGGCACUGAAGCCUCCCCAGGCAGGGAUCCCCACUCAGACCCACAGGGAAGAUUUAAAGCCUGGACAUAUGGCCUCGACCCCUGGGGCGGUGGGGCCGGGCACCAUUAGGUCCAGAAGCUUCCCAGGUGAUUCCACUGUGCGGCCACCGGAGAACCAUUGCGUGAAGCGACACCUGCUGGGCUUGGUGAAGGGAAGGCCGGCUUUGAGGGUGGCUUUUCCUGGAGCUUGAAUGACCAGAAAGAAAGGAAACACAGGAGGGCCCUGGUAGCUACUGGCUGCUUCCAAUAAAGUUACUCCAAACAGAGACCAAAAUUGUAUUCGAAACCCGGGGCUUGUUUAGAUGAGGACGGCUGGGCCCCACCCCAGACUUCUCACUAACAACCUGCAGCCCUAACCGGCCCCCAGGUGCUCCUGCUGGUUCAAGGACCUCGCAUCUCACGCUGCUCUAAACAGAGAUAAAGCUCCCAGGCCCUGAGCUGGGCUGCACCCGCGGGGCCGCCCGGGACACAGGAGGCUUGCGUGGCCCCCAGCCGGCUUCCAGCAACACAAGGGCCUGGCCUGGCAGGGGGAUGGGGUGUGGCUCCUGGAAGGCGGGGGGUUAGCCAACAGCCAGCCACCCCGCAAAACCCAGACACCCUGCCUUUGGACCCUGACAAGGGGAGAGCCCGAGGUCCACAUUCUGUCUCUCUCAUCCCCUGUGACCUUGCUGUGUGGCCCUGGGCAUGCCGUGUACCCUAGGACUUGUGGCUGAUAAAUCUGGUCCCUCCGAGUUCCCUGUGGUUUUGCUGAAUUCUGCCCCGAGCCACAGGCCGGCGGGGAGGGACCCCUCUGACUGCUGCCCCGAGGGCCAACUUCUGUUCCCCCAAACUCCGAACCCCUCACGAGGUUGAAGCCUGAAGGCUUCUUGCCCAAGCUGGGGACGGGCUCCUCUGAGCGCUCUCUGUCUCAGACAGGCUGCUUCUCGGUGCUGGGGCCCAGGUUCCAGGUCUGCCUAAGCCAGUCUUCGGGAAGAAUCCCGUUCCGUCACCGCCACCCCCGCUGCCACUGAUGUCUGUCAGGCUCCUCGGCCCCCGCCUUCGGUGUCUUAAGUCCUCGGCUGCCUCUAGCCAGAAUCCCUGUCCCCUGGCGUCUCGCGUUGGUCAUUCCCACCCACGGACCCCUCGCCGCGCAGGGCUGCAAAUGCCCAGCUGCCUCUGCUGUGUUCGGAGUUGCGUCUGGUGCUUUCCUCCAUCCCAGUAGCACCGGAGGGUCUGUCUCUCUCAGCUCAGACCAGAGUCGGCUCUGUUCCUCUUGGGCCAGCCAGCGCGAGGCAUGUCCGUCAACCGCCGGCUCCCGUGGGGAGCGCCGCGCACCGACCCCUUUCCCCGGGGGAGGGCAGGGGCAGAUUUUGCUGCAAAGUGCUCCCACGGGCCUGCCCCGUUCGCAGCCUGCACCGCUUGGAAUUAACACACUCCCCUCCGUGCCUGUCGGGGCCUCACCCCCGGGGCUUGCUGUCCCAAGAGCCCAAGCUAGAAAAGGCCCCCAGGCCUCCAGAGUACCUACCCUCGCGGCGACCUGUGGCAACCUCGAAGGCCAGAGAACCCUCUCUCUGGCCACACUGCCCUGCUCACAAAGGAAGAGUCCCCUGCAGGGCCAGCCUGGCGGGCAGGGUUCGGCCCUCCCUUUCUGCCCAGUGCCAGGGCAAGGACGUGCCUGGGCGGGAGGACAAAGCCCGACUGUCCUCCCGUCCCCCUUCUGCCGGGAACUCAGCAUGAGGACGUGUGUCAGGGCUGGAGCAGAGAGAGGAUGUCGGGGCGGGGAGGGCUGACGAGAGCCAGAUGGCCGGCCCCCUGCUGUCCGCAAGCGUCCCCAGCAGGAGAAAAUUGUCCUGCGAUUGUGUUUAAUGAUGGGUCACGUCUGCUGUGAAACCGGGAGGAAGUGCUUCCUGGGGCUGGUGAGUGGGGGAUGAGUUUUCUUGGAGUGGUCUGUGACUGUCAGCAAAGGAAGUGAGUGACUGAUGUGCCCCGCUGGGGGCCCCAGGGCGGAGGGUCACCGCCAGCCGCCCAUGGCUCGGCCCCGAGGGCAUCUCCCGGUCCGGAAGCUUCGCCCGCUGCCCUGGUCGUUUCCAGAGGAGCUGCCGCUCCCGCUGCAACGUGGACAGUGGGUCCGUGUCAAAAGUGCCGCCUGGAAAGUGGGUCCUCCUCUGUCUUCUUUGCUCAGGUGGGACCCACCGGGAAACUCCGUGGCCCUCACGGGUCUCUCCCUCGCAUCAGGCACAGCACCCACCCUGGAGCCCUAGGGCUGUGGUUCGAGGGCGACAGGAGGUCUCCCUGAGUCCCUGCACGUCCACGAUUUCAGCAGGAGACAUUCGAUCCUUUGCGUCUCACGGACACACAGACCCUGGGGAAGCACAAUUGUAGUAGAAGUGGGACCACCUAAACCUGCAUCUAGGGUUUCAAACAAGGGAUGGGGCUUCAAGGAAAGAAGGGCUCCACCGUGUUUCCAACACAUCUGAGGGAACACCAGGUUGGAUGAGGUUAAACAGACCUCCUAGCAGCAGGACUUCUCAGGGCCUUUGUUUC